AACAGUUAACAGCGUUUGCCGGCUUAAGCGCGUAGUCUAUAGCUGGACCACUCGCACUCACAUAGAGCAUUUGGUCGUGUAUUUGCAAAAAUCACCAGUCAACAACUCGACGUCAAACAAUAAAAGCGAAAAGAAAAAAACGGUUUGAUAAUAGCACAAAGAAUAAGAAGAUCGGUGGAAAAGGCGAACGAAUGAGUGGAAAAGCAACAGCAAUGAAAAAUCAAAUUGAUGCCUGAUUGCUUGGUGUCUGUCUGACUUUCAUUUAUUUAAAUAAUUGGAAAAUUUGUGUGUUUUUUACGUGUGGAUUUGAAAUAAUAAUAAUUCCAAGAAUUCUGUGGGAAGUUGUGUACAAUUGAGAAACUCUGGUGGAGCACAACGGUCGCGAGACGCAGUGAUUCUUUGUUAAGGUCACUCGCUUUGCACGGCCCCUUUGAUCUCAACUCAUAACUUUAAUACACGGUACGAGCGUAUUUUCUGCAAAUCCUAAUAAAACUUUAGAAGUUUUCGUUGAGAAAUGUCUUCAACAUCGGCGGCCAGUGGUAGUGGUGGUACAAGUGGUGGCAGUUCUACUACCUCUGCCUCUCCCCCCGCUACUGGAAACAGCAUGAACUCUAGUACCGCAAGGGGCCGAACUAGUAACUCAUCAGGUGCCAACGCAAAUAAUUCAGGUGCCGGCAGCUCCAACGCUAUUUCAAAUAAUUCUGUAAAUGCCACUGCCUCCUCUGCGGCUGGUUCCGGGACUGCGGAAGAGACUCGCAAAGAUCCAAAACCAAAUCCAAAAAUUUCCAAAGCUUUGGGUACCUCAGCUAAACGCAUACAAAAGGAGUUAGCCGAAAUUACACUUGAUCCACCUCCGAAUUGCAGUGCCGGUCCAAAAGGAGAUAAUCUUUACGAAUGGGUAUCUACGAUAUUAGGGCCGCCUGGCUCUGUAUAUGAGGGUGGGGUGUUUUUCUUGGAUAUUCAUUUCUCACCAGAAUAUCCCUUCAAGCCACCAAAAGUGACAUUUCGCACGCGCAUUUAUCACUGCAACAUAAACAGUCAAGGAGUAAUUUGCUUGGAUAUUUUAAAAGAUAAUUGGUCCCCUGCGCUGACCAUAUCAAAAGUAUUGUUGUCAAUUUGUUCCCUCCUGACUGACUGUAAUCCCGCGGAUCCUUUGGUCGGCAGCAUCGCCACUCAAUAUUUGCAAAAUCGGGAGGAGCAUGAUAGAAUCGCCCGACUUUGGACAAAAAGAUAUGCAACAUGAUUUCCUAAUCUUAUAGGUCCCAACAAUAACAAAAAAAAUUUGUAACAGCAGCAAAUGUAAGAAAUACAAAAAUGUAUAUUUACAAAAAAAAAAAUAAGAUUUUCUGAAACGAAUAAUUGCAAAUAUCAAGAAAAUAAAUGAUAAUUGAAAAUUUUUAAUUUUAAAGGGAAGUUAUCUUCUAACUAUGUAUAACUCUAUAUAAUAUAUAUAUUAGUAAUUAAUGAUAAAAAUAAUGCCUAAUACAAAAAAGGAAAAUUAAGCAGAUAUUGAGCAGGAAUUGGUGACAGUUUUGUAGGAUGGUUACUAUAUAAUAACAAGUUUAAAUAAUAGUACAUUUUAUCACUGGCGAUGCUUCCUAUAAUGGCGACCACGAAAAUGAAUGAAAACAUACGAAUGUGUAAUAUUGACACCAUGGACAAAAACUACAAUAUUUUGUUAACAUUUUCGGAAAAUAAUCCCACCAUUAUUAUUUUUUAUCAAAUGAGUUCUGCAAAAAUAACACGAUUAUUUCAGGCAAAGAAGUAGUUCAGAUGUCAGCUUAGUUCGUACAUAUGUAAAUUGUGUUUCCCUUUCUUUUAUGUGUGAAAAAUUAAGCAGCCAGCAUACAUACGAGUACACACCGUAAUUUCAACUUUUGAAUAAGAAAUAAAUAAACCAAAUCUACUGAUGAUAUGUCAACAUAAAACAAUGCUUAAUAUAUUAUAAUAUUAUUAUAAUUUAUAGCACUAUGAUUAAUUGAACAGCAAAGAAAUUGUAAAACGAAACGAAAAUAAAUUUAAUUAAAGUAAGA
rnacentral:misc_RNA from 1 species